rnacentral:misc_RNA from 1 species
GUGGGGUGUGUGGAGGAAAGGGAGAGAGUUCAUUGUCAAUAGAAUCCGAAAAACAUCGCUAUUUGUCUCAGUUGUUUUUGUAACAUUGUUUCAAGCCACUAACCAACCAUGCCUCCAACUCUAUCCUUCAUUUUACUUCUCUUCACUUUCCUCUGGCAAAUUAAGGUGUGAUUCUUUGUGGCAUCGUUGAGUUUUUCCAACAAUCAGGAGGCAAAAAUAACCAGCUUCCAAAGACACAUCAACAAUAUAUGGCAUCAACCAGGACAUUAGCUUAGGGCCUUACAUGUUCUCUGAUGAACUGUUCCACCUGAGAUAUCUCGCCUGUCAAACCAGAAGAUUCAGCAAUGGUAACUUUGUUACUGCAAUGAGAGAAUGAAAACGCUUCCCCAGGGAUGCCAAGAGUGAACUCAUUUGCAACAUCAGCUUCUGAUAU